CGGUGGAGCAUGUGGUUUAAUUCGACGCAACGCGAAGAACCUUACCUGGGCUUGACAUGGCGCGGAAAGCCCCUGGAAACAGGCCCUCGCUACAGGUGUGACGAGCGCAACCCUCGCCUCUAGUUACCAGCGGGACGUCAAGUAUCAUGGUCCUUACGCCCAGGCCACAUACAUGGCACCGACAAGGGCCGCGAGCCGGCAACGGCGAGCCUCCCCAAACGGUGCCUCAGUUCGGAUUGUCCUGCAACUCGAGGGCAUGAAGCUGGAAUCGCUAGUAAUCGGGAUCAGCUACGCCACGGUGAAUACGUUCCCGGGCCUUGUACACACCGCCGCCACGCCAUGGAAGCUGUGAGCGCCCGAAGUCCGCGCCGGAACCCGCGAGGGGCCAAGCGGCCGAAGCGAACGCAAUGACUGGGGCGAA
rnacentral:rRNA from 1 species